GUUUGAACCAUUCAGUGGCCAUAACCAACUGUGGAAUGCCAUAAAUGGAGCAAUAUAACGACUGGAGCUACCCAGCAUCCUUCAGAUUAACAGCUGGCUCUCCAAGGCUCCUUUGCAAAAGCAAUGCAGUCCUUCACACAGCAGCCUCUUUGGGCUAAGGUGGGUACAAAUCCACACCUGUCAUUAGGACUGCCAACAUCAUUGACCAGUAAUGAUGAUAAUGAGACAGUUCCUAGCAAUGCAUUAUUAAUAUGAUGCUGUUACCCACAGCAAGUGCUGAUCUCUAAAGUUCAUUUACAGCUUUAUCACACUUUCUCAGUAGCUGCUAUUGCUCAGCCAUCCCUCUUUUUUUUCCUCUUGCCUUCUCAGAUGAGCAAAGAUCUUUGAUGCUUCCAUUUUCUCACUCCAUGAAUGGAUCAAAGAGCCCAAAAUCCACAGGGCUUUGAAGCAGGAGGAGCACUGGAAGAGAGAGAUUACAGUCAGCUAGAACAGAAAUGCAUUAGUCUGGAGCUUGAUUGGUCUGGUUUUGUAGUUGACAUUUGUGAGCAUGAAAGCAUUAGGGAGAAGUAACAAUGCCAUUUUUAGAUAAAAUAAUAGUAGAUUAAAAAAAAGUUAAUUUUGUUCUAAAUUCCACAGUAAUAUUAUGUCUUGCAGUUAAUUUCUAACUAUCCUGAAGUGAUAACCAGUUUUCUUUUGUGUAAAAGGAGCCAUAGUCUAAGGAGACUCUUGAGUGGCAGCCAAGAUAUGAAAAAUGUUAUUUGAAUUAGGAAUUCUUAUCCAUGUUUAUAGUACUUUCCAGAGGCUUUCUCUCAUUUUUAGGCCUUUUUCACAAAAGCAUAUGCAAUAAAAAUGUUACUGCUGCCAGCUUGUAUGCCUGAAAGGUCAAUUCUUCUUUUUGUUCUAACUUUAUCAGUUUCUUUAAUAAAAGAUAUUAACUCUCUUCACAAACCUGUCUCACGGAGAGAAGAAAAAUAUCCCCAUCUCCAAAGAAAAUAUCACUUCUAUUUAAUGAUUAAAACAGAUCAGUGUGAGAGAAGACAUAAGGCAGCUACCAGAAAAUUCUGGCCCAAGAAGCCAAUGACCUUGAGUGGACACCAAAACCACACCUUACACAAAUUAUCCCUUCAGUGUUUCCAGAGUCUGUCUUUGGCAGCACACAAAUUUAUUCACCCACACUGA
rnacentral:lncRNA from 1 species